UGGUUAACAGCGAAAGUAAUAGCAGCCAUAUUUAAGUGGUUGAUCUCAGUCAGACUUUGCAGAGGACAGAACUGAAGUGUCUGAGGCCCGGUCCACACGUAGCCGGGGAUCUGCCAAAACGUAGAUAUUUUUCUACGUUUUGGCCUGUCAUCCACACGAAAACUGAGUUUUUUCACACGAAAACGGAUCUUUUUAAAAACUCCGGCCAAAGUGAAGAUCUGCGUUUUCUCCGUUUUGGGUGUCUGCGUGUGGACAGACAAAACCGGAGUUUUAAGGUCCGCAACGUCACUCUCCACGACAAAAAAAUGCUGACAUCACGUGUGCGACCUGUGUUUACACUAGGCGACAGCAUGGAUGCCCUCAGAGCUGCGCUCACUUUAUCAAUUGUCCAAGCGCUUUUUGCUUGUGUUUUUGCAAGCGGAAUUACUGCUCCUUGCGGAAGACCACAGACGAAGGACGAGGUUAAGAACGGGGGAAGUACUGCCGCCUACAGGUCUGGCAUGUCCUUAACAACGUAUUUAUCUGGGUACGUGUGGACAGAAUUUUUUAUUAAAACGAGGUGGUGUGGAUGCAAGUUUUUGGAGGGGCGGAUAUUCGUUUAAAAAAAAAACCCGGCUACGUGUGGACUAGGCCUGAGAUGUACUUCCUCUUCCUCAGUCACAUUCUGAAGGUUUUUUCGGACUCCAUUGAAGCACUUGAGGCCAAAUCAUUCAGCAUUACUUCUGUGUUUAAAGCGAUGAGUGAGCUUAAAGUCAAGCUUGAGCAGAGAUUAAAUGACCAUUUUUUGGCUUUGCUGUGAACAGCAAACUCAAACAGUUAACUCCUGAUAUUGCAAAGAAAUGUGAGACUGAUUUCAUUCACUUCUAUGAAAGAGCAAAGAGGUAUGUGACUGAAAGGUAUGACUUCUCUGAGAACAGCUUUCACCGCAAAAUGUCCAAGCUUAGCCUCACAGCUGAUGUCUCUUAAGGAGAGUACAUUGAUGCAGUCCAAGCCUGCAAACUUAUGAACAUUGAUAUGGAUGACUGUAUGAGGAAUAUGGUUGAAGCUAUUCUCAGCUCCCCAGAAAUAGAAGGUUUUCAGAGCGAGGAGCGCUAUCUGAAGCUGUUUUCCAAAGCAGAUGUCCCACUUUUGAACCUGAGGAAAGUCGGCGCCUACAUCUUCUCCGUUCCGUGCAGCAAUGCACACACAGAAUGGAUCUUUUCCAUGAUGUCCUCAGCAUGGAGAAAUGAAAGAAAUCAUCUUGAUGUGGAGAGAGUGAAAGCAUGGCUGCAAAUGUGUGUCAACUUCACUUGGACUGCAUGGACAUGUACAAGAAAUUUCUCUCAAACAAAAAACUGUUGGAAGAAGCCAGGAAAGGUCAAAAAUAUAAAAAGUAGACUUCACGUCUUUGGUGAGUACAAUAGUCAUACGAUAUAACGGUGUUGCUAUUGUGUUUGUCUUUGUUCAAUCUUAAAAUUGUCCUCCUUGUUGGUGUUGUGGAAAUGGCCACCCUAAGCUGCGUGCUAACCAUGAUGCUAAGGGCAUGGUGGGGGAGCCCCACCCUAACACACAUUUAAGUAAUCAAAACCUCUUUCAUCUGUAAGUUUUGUUGGUGUGUGAUUGACCGGCAACACCAGAAGCUAGGUGCUAAUCUGAGUAAUCGAGUUUCUUCUAAACAGACAGGAAGUGAGCUAGCUUUAGCUUCACUCUCGGCUAACCCAACAAACCCAUCAUGGCAGAGACACGGGUUUAUUACAGAUUUGCUUUGAGAGAAGAAUUAUUGCUGAAUAACAUUUCCUCGCUCAAACUUAAGCUAUGAAGCAGCUGUUAGCCGUGCGCUGGAGCUUUCUGCUGAAGUUUUAAAGCGUGGAUGAGAAAGGGUACUCAAAGGAAAUUUUCCCAGGGCUGUUUUAAAACACUACCUUGAAGGUCGAGGUUUGGCGGAUCGGGGGGCACAAAGAAGAGCUGCCUAUUGAGUACCGCUGCUUAUGAGGCCAGAACAGUCUCAAUAAGAAUUAAGUCACACAACGUUUUCCACAAAUGCACACGUUCAUUCGGAAAUCCACACUCUGUGUUUCACAAAUAUAAUUCGGAGGAACACAAAUGCUCACGCUCAUUCGGAAAUUCACAAUCUUUGACUCAUAAAUAUAAUGUGAAAAAAUAAGUCACGCAACAUUUUCCACAAAUGCACACGCUAAUUCUGAAGUUCACACUCUGUGGUUCACAAAUAUAAUUUGUAAGAACACUUGUAAUAUAAACUCACAGAUGAUACGAAUUCCUGAAUGUGCAUUUACGAACAGCUUCUCAUUUGUGAACCUUUCCGCGUUUGUGAGUGAAAUCUGUGUGGUGCAUUCACGAACAGCUUCUCAUUUGUGAACCUUCCUGCAUUCGUGAGAGAAAUCGGUGUGCUGAAUUUUGAGACUCUACUAACGUCGCAGGUCAACAAACGUCCCCAUUGGCUAAUGAAUCUGUCAAUCAAAUAUAUGAUUCUGCCAGGGCUGUUCGCUUUCAGCCAAUCAUAUGGCUCCUUAUGUUAAGGAACAGAUCUGCUGUGCGCAUGCGCAUUGCAGUUCACACGGCAGAGCGGGAUGGACCGGUCACAAUCUGUGAGUAAAAGUUUUAUCUUAUUCCCUCGUUGUAAUUGAUGCAAUGUUAUAGAAUUAUGAGUAGAAGUGUUCUUCAUGGUCAAGUAAAAUGUUUUAUGUUAAAUUCAGUCCAGACGUUACGUGAAGUCUGGUCCAUUCUUUAUCUAGUUUAACAUCAAGCUAAACUCAAGCGAACAUUUGUUUAGUUAGCGUGUCUAGGUACCAUUUUUUAGGCCACGGUUGUCAAACUCAAGCCCUUGGUCUAUUUUUAUUUGUCCCGCGAAAUCAAGUAUCAAACAUAUAAUAUUAAAACUGGCCCGCCAGGCGAUUUUGCUGAUAAGACUAUUAAUCCCAUAGUGCUUUGCGGCGAUAGCGCACAAGACGAAGCAAGCCCUCUUUUAUGUUUACGAUCGUUAGCAUCCAUGCUAGUAGAAUCAGCGUGUGCAGCGUUACCUUCAGUCUUAAACAACUGAAGAUACUCCUCUAAGCGCCCAGUUUACUCAGCGAGUUUCCGACUCUGAACGCCUAGAAAGAAGGUAUCUGGCUGGAACAGGUGACCAUCAGAGUGGAGCGAACUGAGCUUGAAACAUAUAAUUGUCAUGCACUUUUUCUGCUCCAAAGCAUGAAAGUUAAUAACUGAGAUAUUUUCAUAGAAGAUAAUUGCCAUUUUUGGUUUUUGUUGUUGGCCUGUAAAAAAAUAUUAAACUUACUCUAAAAUGGGAACUGGACAGACUACAGAUUGAAGAAUAGAAUAGAAAAUCCCUUUAUUGUCCCUCAGUGGGGAAACUGUGAUGUCACAUCAGCAAUAACGUUCAUUACAGGAGCCAAACAGGAGAGUAAAACAUAAUAAAGAGUAAACUAAAAGAAAACAUAAAACAGACUAACUUAAAAUAUCCAAAAGGUAAAACAAUCUAAAUACUGAAUAUGUACACAUUGUAAGGAGUAAAAAGAGUAAAUAAAAAUUGAGACAUAAGUAACGAGUGAUGUGUUUUAUUUAAAAUGCACUUGCUCGUGUGUAAUUUGGUCAUAUCAGAUUCUGUGUUCAGAUGCAAAAAUAAGUUUCUUUCCAAUUGAAUAACAAGACAUCUGUAAAUAAACUUUUAAACAAAUAUUGAGUUUGGCCCGCAACUUUGUCCCAGUUUUUACUUUUGUCCCAUUGUGAAUUUGAGUUUGACACCCCUGCUUUAGGCUGUGCAGUAAUAAGGAGACAGACACUGACUGAGCCGGUGCAUAAAUGUUUGCUGGCGGUGGGCAAUAGUUAAAGAAAUAUUUUUUUUUAAAUGCAUCUUUAAAUUUUGGCCAAUGAGCUCUGGCACAUAAUAAACAGAAAUACUGCUUCAUCAUUUCAUGUACCUUUGAAUCUACAGUUGGUCUUAUUUAAAAAUGUUUUUUUUUUAUUAAAACUAUCAUAGCUGGAGUGUUAAAAAAAUAAAAGUGCCGUAAGAUAUUUGGAAGUUGUUAUUUUAUUUCUAUUACCCAACAGUUAUCCAAUUCAUGUUUGUUCUGUUUUUGUUUUGUUUUUUUCCUCUAGAAAUCAUUGAGGCGUGACAUCCUUCAGAGGUUUUACGAUCGACUGUCUAGCAUCUUGGAGAGGCAACCUGUUGAUGGGGAAGGGCUACAGUUUGCUUGUCACUUUCUGCUCUUUCAGAUCUGAAUACUAUUAUCCAGCAGGAAAGAGAUAAUCAAAAGACAUUAAUAACGGUACACGUUGAAAGAGGUUCUCGUGGCCGCCCACGAUUGGCGGUGUCGCGAGAGGCUCUCAAACACCUUGUGGAAAUGGGUCUGCCAACAAGUGUCAUUACCAAACUCCUUGGUGUAUCCAGAGUAACUCUAUUUAGACGGAUGUCUGAAAACAAUAUAUCUGUAUCUGCCACAUACAGUAAAUGCAGUGAUGAGGAACUAGAUUCAUUUAUCACAGUAAUUAAGAGCAACAUGCCAGAUGCUGGGUACAGGGUAGUCCGAGGUGCUCUACUUGCCCAGGGACAUAGAGUACAGUGGGACCGACUGUAUGCAUCCAUGCAUCGUGUGGACAGUGCGGGUGUACUUGCUCGAAUGACACAUCUGGGAUGUGUAGUGAGAAGGACGUACACAGUUCCUUGCCCAAAGUAUAUGGUGCACAUUGACACCAAUCACAAGCUCAUCAGGUACAAUUUUAUUAUCUUUGGGGGAAUAGACGGCUAUUCAAGGAAGGGUGAGAGGAGAUCAUGGCGGAGAAAAUGUAGGUGUUGCAGAAUUAAUGUUCUCAGUUCAGGGAACUGACACCAACAGCUUCAUUGCAGGAAAAAGUGUACACAAUCAACGGCCAGCCUGGAUGUCUUUAGAGAUGCGUGGGACAACCAUCCAAUCAGGACAGAGGAAAACAUGACACCAAAUCAGCUGUGGCAUCUGGGCCAGGCUCUGAAUCCUGUUUCUGAUCCAGGGGCAAAUGGUAUACCGACACCAGAGAUUGAAUGGGAGGAGAAUGGAUACAUGACUGAACCUCAUCCUGGGAUCAGUGUCCCUGUCCUGUACUCUUUCAGAUCUUGAAAUGUUGGAACUGCAGGACAACAUUAAUCCGUUGCAACAUUCAGACUCUUUUGGAGUGGACAUAUAUCUUCACACUGUCCAGUAUGUUGAGAACUUACUUGAGGCUAGAUGAUUACAUGUGUGAAGAAGGAAGGAGAGAGAAGGUAGGGAGUUAGGAAGGAAGAAAAUAAUGAGACAGGAAGGAAGGAAGUUAAAAAGUGAAGGAGUGGUCCAUUUUAAGGUUAAUAUACUGUAUAUUGUUAUUCAAGGGAUUAACCUUUGUAAAUAUGAAAUGCUAAAGGAUAGACCCCAAAAUAGAUUUCUAAAUUCAUUUAUAGUUGUGUAUUCCCUUAAAGGCUUUAUCAGCCUGAUUUAUUUUAGACCAGGAAUGUAUUUGAAAAGGCUGCUGUCCACUUUAUCUAUGCUACAAUUCUUCAAAAUGUAGAUGUUCUAUCAUUGCUAGUGUUGGUUUAGUAACAUGCAUCUUCCUGUGUAUCCAGCUCUAAUAAAAACAUUUAAAGGUGAAGCACCUACUUCUUAUCAGGAGAUCCAUUUAUUUUUACAUGUUAUUGUUUGAAUUUUGUCUCGUUUCAUAACUUUUGCUCAACAUUUAAGGGGAACUGUUACCCUGCGAUCAUCUUCAUUACACUUGAAAACUUGUACUAUACCUCCGUCCGUCUACUUAUUAAAUGGAAUAACAUGACAAGAUUCUAUCUACUGGUUUUUUGAUCAAGGGAUGAUUAGGUGUUGUGAGAAGAUUCUCUAUGCUACUGAGUCUGUGUUAAAUUGCAACUGGACACACAUACCCACACACAGUUUGUUCAUUUGUUCUCAGAAUGAGAAUAAUGUCUUUUACAAUUAAAAAGUUUUUUUUUCUUGAAGGCUGUGUUAGAAAUAUAUGCAGCUUAUUAAAAGGAAAAGUAACUGAUGUUUCCAAAAGCCUGAACACAGGAGAAUAGAGACACCUGCCAAGAUAAAGAGCUAGAGCUUUUGCUCCUUUUCAGAGUCACUCACAUGGAAUAGGCCUGAUGAUUUACUAGCUUCUCUUACCUUCUCUGCAGACAAUGUUUAAUAUGAGUGUUCUGCCUUCCAGGCAUUUUAGUUCAUUGUGUAAAAGUUUUAUUUACGUGCUUUUAUUUUGACAUGGAAAACACCCGUAGAACAGGAAGUGCUGUGUAUGCUUUUAUUUUGACAUGUAAAACACCCGUAGAACAGGAAGUGCUGUGUACGUGAGUGACCGUUUACUAGCAACGCACGCUGAUGCAGAGAGAUUGGUCAAAGAGGGAAAGACGUUCUAAAAAAUCAGAAAACCGGCAAACCUUUGCUUAACUCUUGAAGAAGCAACGCCUUUUUACUCUGUAUUCUAAGCGACAGCAAGUAUGUGUAAUAAAUUUGGAGACUACAGGAACACAUCUUUCGUCAUUGAGUCAGAGUUUAGCUCACUGUCUAGUUGAAACUACCACUACGUCUCAGCGAGGACAGUACAGUAAAGAGGCGCUGAGUAACCUAGAGUUCAACACCAAAGGUGCCAGGCACAAGGGAGAAACGAUGGAACAAGCAUCAGUACGUUCAAAGAUCACGAAACGCUCUCUCUCCUCUUCGUCCACCACCACAGUACAAGCGCGAGCCAAUGCAGAGGCGGCAAAGGCGAGGGCUGCAUUCGCAGAAAAGGAAGCAAAGCUAAAAAUCGAAAAGGCUACAAGAGAAGCAGAGCUACAAUUAGAGAAAUCAAGACUGGAUGCACAACUUGGGAUAUUGGAGUAUCAGAGAGAAGCAGCUGCAGCCGUUGCACAAGCGGAAGCGUUGGAGGCAGCUGAAGAAUUGGAGUCAGUAAAGUCAGAUUCGCAUGCACGUGAAAUCUUACAAAGGGGCGUUGUUACACGGACUCAGGAAUACGUCCAAGAACAAGCAGAGCUCAAAUCACAGCAAGGUCAGGCCGCCGCACAUCCUCCAACACCUGGUACAGAAUUACCAGAGGAGAGCCUUGUCACGUGGGAUGUUCCAUCACAAAAGAACUUAAAGGUACAUGAUGAAGACAGUAACAAGCAUGACGAACUGCAAAGCAAAACAUUAGUAGACAUUCAAGACGAAUACGUAAACAACGCUCAAACAACCAUUUACUAUGGACAAAACAGACUCCAACCAAAGGUAAAGCCAACUCAAUACUACCACAGCCCCUCACCAAACCCAAUAACAAAAACAUUCACCCCACAAGCAUUGGUAACUCCCACCAGUGUAACACCAGAAACAGAGCACUUGGCUCGAUACUUGGCUCGUCGUGACUUAGUGAGUACCAGCCUCUACCAGUUUGAUGACAAACCUGAAAGUUAUCGCGCAUGGCAGUCUUCAUUUUACAGUGCGACUUCAGAUAUAGGACUCACAGCAAAUGAAAUGUUAGAUUUACUGGUUAAGUGGCUUGGGCCGGAGUCUGGCAAACAUGUCAAAAGAAUUCGCUCUGUAUACGUUGAAAACCCAGACACAGCUCUUCAGAAGGCCUGGACACGUCUCCAGGAAUACUACGCUGCACCAGAAGUGAUGGAGAAGUCACUAUUUAAAAGACUUGAUGAGUUCCCUAAGAUAUCUAUCAAAGAUUAUGGAAAAUUAAGAGACUUGGGCGAUCUUCUCAUGGAAAUACAAGGAGCUAAGGAAGAAGGCUACCUGACAGGACUAACAUACCUGGACACUGCCAGAGGCAUAGGACCUAUAGUGGGAAAGCUUCCUUAUGGAAUACAAGAUAAAUGGACAACAGUCGGCUCAAAGUUCAAAGAAGAAAACAAUGGACUAUUUCCGCCAUUUGAACACUUCACAAGCUUCAUCUGUCAAGAAGCCCGUAGGAGAAAUGAUCCAAGUUUUCAUCUGCCAAACACAGUCGAAAGGCCAAAUCAGGCUCCCCCAAAGAACUAUGGCAGUAAAAUAUCUGUUCACAAAACCAAUAUCUCUACAGAGAAAGGAUUACCAACGAACCCACCUGCACAGAAAGCAGAUGGACUAGAGAAGAACUGCCCUAUUCACAACAAACCACACCCAGUAAAUAAAUGCAGAGCAUUUAAAGCAAAAAAUAUAGAGGAAAGGAAAGCUAUACUAAAACAGAGCGGAAUCUGUUUCAAGUGCUGCAACUCAACUAGCCACUUAGCAAAGGAUUGCAAAGCUCUGGUGAGGUGCACACAGUGUGACAGCAAUCGCCACGACACCGCUAUGCAUUUAGACCCAACACCUCAAGUACCUACAAGGGCCUCACCCCCAACAAGUGACGGCGGGGAGGAAGAAAGUGCUGGCAGCAUUACAGCAGUUAACUCACAAUGCACCCAAGUGUGCGGCACAGGACGAAUAGGAAGAUCAUGCGCCAAGAUCUGUCUGGUUCGAGUAUAUUACCAUGGACAGCGCGAGAGAGCAGCUAACGCGUAUGCCAUUUUAGAUGACCAAAGUAAUCGUUCGCUGGCCCGCUCAGACUUCUUUAACCUUUUCGACGUAAACAGCCAGCUCUUCCCCUACAGACUAAAAACAUGUGCCGGGCCGAUCGAAACAGCUGGUCGCAAAGCCGAAGGUUUCCAGAUCGAGUCUCUCGAUGGAAAAAUCAUCCUCUCCCUUCCGCCAUUAAUUGAGUGUGAUGAAAUACUAAAUGACAGGACUGAAAUCCCCACACCCGAUGCAGCUCGCAGUCACCCUCAUCUGAGAAAAAUAGCUCAGUACAUUCCAGAGCUCGACCCCAACGCACAAAUCCUUAUUUUGCUGGGAAGAGACAUCUUGAGAGUCCACAAAGUUCGUCAGCAAGUAAAUGGACCUCACAAUGCUCCCUUUGCACAGAGACUAGACCUUGGAUGGGUCCUGAUUGGGGAUGUGUGUUUGGGAAAUGCACAUAAACCAACUGUGAAUGCGUACAAAACAAGUGUAUUAGAAAAUGGCCGUCCCUCUAUCUGCGCACCCUGCAAAAACACCAUAAGGCUAACUGAGAACGCCUGCCAAGGAAGGGGGCAAAUGAGCUACGCUGGUAAAACGUCAUUGGAGAACCUGGGAAGGAGCGUCUUCAGCGAAACAGGUUCUGACAACAAACUUGGCCCGUCCAUUGAAGACACAAUCUUCCUGGAAAAAAUGGACAGGGAAAUGUUCAAGGACAAGUCAGGUCAUUGGGUUGCACCCUUACCUUUCAGAGCUCAACGACAACGGCUGUCCAACAACCGUGAGUACGUAAUGUCUCGCUUCAACUCUUUACAAAAAACAUUAGAAAGAAAACCAGGCAUGAGGAGCCAGUUUCUUGAAUUCAUGGACAAAAUUUUCCAGAACAAACAUGCAGAGGAGGCUCCACCCUUAAAUGAAGAGGAGGAGUGCUGGUUUUUGCCGACCUUCGGAGUUUUUCAUCCACAGAAACCAGAAAACAUACGUGUGGUUUUUGAUUCUAGUGCAAAAUACCAUGGCGUGUCUCUAAACGACUCCCUUCUAAAGGGUCCCGACCUAAACAACUCCCUGAUAGGUGUCUUGAUCCGCUUUAGGAAGGAGCAGGUUGCGGUGGUUGCCGACAUACAGCAGAUGUUCCACAGUUUCCUCGUUCACAGAGACCACAGGAACUAUCUGAGAUUUUUGUGGUACAGAGAUAACGAUAUGUCCAAAGACAUAAUUGAUUAUAGAAUGCGGGUGCAUGUGUUCGGGAACAGCCCGUCUCCGUCCGUGGCCAUCUAUGGGCUCAGGAGAGCUAUUCAGGAGGGAACAAACAAACACGGAGCAGACACAGUCAAGUUUGUCGUACGCCACUUUUACGUAGACGAUGGUCUCAUUAGUGUGCCCUCAGAUGCUGAAGCCAUUAGCCUACUGCAGAGAACCCAAGCCUCCCUCAGCGAAUCAAACUUAAGACUGCACAAGUUCGCGUCGAAUAGUGACACUGUCCUCCAAGCCUUCCCAAUUGAAGAUCGCGCUGUUUUGAAAGAUCUGGACCUCAGUGGUGAGGCUAUACCAGUGCAGCGCAGUCUGGGCCUAUUAUGGGCGACCACAACGGACACAUUCACAUUCAAGGUGUCAGAAGACAGAAAGCAGUUCACUCGCAGGGGUGCUCUUUCUACAGUGAACAGCAUUUUCGACCCCUUAGGCCUUCUCGCACCAGUAACCAUUGAAGGAAAAAGUCUAUUGAGAGAUUGCAGUGCAGACAAAUGUGAUUGGGAUACACCUCUUCCCGAAGACAAGCUCAAAGAAUGGGAAGCGUGGAGAGAGUCUUUACAUGAUUUGAACAAACUACACAUUCCUCGAACAUAUACUGCAAACUCACUCUCCAAGGCCAAACGCACUGAGCUAUGCGUGUUUUCGGAUGCAUCCACCAAAGCCAUUGGAGUUGUAGCCUACCUCAGAACGGUCCAAAGCGAAGGAAAAGUGGAAGUAGGAUUCAUUAUGGGGAAAGCUAAACUAGCUCCACUCUCCCAACCUACAAUUCCUCGGCUGGAACUAUGUGCUGCGGUACUUGCCGUGGAAGUUGCAGAUAUCAUCCAAGAUGAACUGGACCUGAAGUUGGACUCGGUUAGGUUUUACUGCGACAGCAAGGUCGUACUAGGGUAUAUCUGCAACCAAACGAAACGUUUCCAUGUCUACGUUCACAAUCGAAUUCGACGCAUUCAUCAGUCGACAACACCAGGUCAGUGGUUCUACGUCUGUUCGGAGGAGAAUCCUGCAGACUACGCAUCCAGGUCAGUUCCUGCAUCCUCACUAACACACACCAUAUGGUUCACAGGACCGGCAUUUUUGUACAAACAAGACAGUAGUGGGGAAGACUUAGCAAUAACGUAUGAACUCGUAAACCCUGAAUCAGACACAGAGGUGCGUUCUGAAGUGACCAGUUACCUCACACAGAGUCAAGGAAAGGGACUUGGUGCCGCAAGAUUCACACGCUUUUCAACCAUGCGCUCUCUCACCAGAGCAUUCGCUAUGCUCAUUCACAUAGUUAAAACCUACAAACAGAGGGAGUCAAGUGCAUGUAAAGGGUGGCACUACUGCAAACUCCCACACACUCCUGAUGAGUUAUCCCAAGCUAGAUUCAUCAUCACCCAAGCGACACAGGAAGAGUUUCUUUCCAGUGAAAUCUCAGAUCUCUCACUCACACACACUGUGUCCAAAAAGAGUACGCUCUAUAAGCUGAACCCUAUCCUCAAAGAAGGUCUGAUCUGUAUUGGUGGCAGAAUAAAACAUGCAGACUUGAGCGCAGCAGAGACCAACCCCAUAAUCUUGCCUAAGAACAGUCACAUCUCUCUGCUCCUAGUGAGACAAUAUCAUGAACAAGUGAAACAUCAAGGCCGCCACUUUACUGAAGGGGCCCUCAGAGCAGCCGGUUAUUGGGUCAUAGGCGGAAAGCGGCUCAUCACCUCAGUCCUGCACAAGUGUGUAGUAUGUCGCCAGUUGCGUCGCAAGGUAGAAGGGCAAUUCAUGGCCGACCUGCCCCCAGAGCGUUUAUCCGUAUCUCCACCAUUCACGUAUGUUGGAGUAGAUGUGUUUGGGCCCUGGCCAGUCGUCUCCAGACGCACAAGAGGAGGCCAGUCACAAAGCAAGCGGUGGGCGAUGCUGUUCUGCUGCAUGAGUUCGCGGGCUGUCCACAUCGAGGUCAUUGCAUCAUUGGAUACAUCCAGCUGCAUCAAUGCACUGAGGCGGUUCCUUGCAAUACGUGGACCUGUGAAGCAGAUAAGGUCAGACUGUGGGACGAACUUCGUGGCAGCUGCAAAGGAACUAGGGUUGGGUCACAAAGAUCCAGAGGCAACCGUGCAAAGGUUCUUAAGUGAACAGAACUGUUCAUGGGUGUUCAACCCCCCUCGUGCAUCCCAUAUGGGAGGGUCAUGGGAGCGGCUUAUUGGAUUAUCAAGGCGGAUCUUGGACGCAAUCCUGCUCAAAGACAACAUUCGGCUUACCCAUGACGUUUUAUGCACUCUCAUGAUGGAAGUGGCUGCAGUUAUCAAUGCAAGGCCUCUCGUCCCAGUCUCCAAUGACCCAGAGUCACCCUCCAUAUUAUCACCUGCAAUGAUUCUUACUCAGAAGGUGGGGGUUUCCCCUCCCCAAGGAGAGUUUGCAAACAAGGAUCUCUACAGUAAACAGUGGAAACAAGUGCAAGCCCUCGCUGACGAGUUCUGGCGCCGCUGGCGGCAGGAAUAUCUUCCCACUUUGCAGACCCGAAGGAAGUGGACAGAUAUGAAGAGGGAUCUGAAAGUUGGAGACAUUGUGCUCCUAAAGGACUGUCAAGUUGCACGCAACAAGUGGCCUAUGGCUAAGAUCACUGCGGUCUUUCGAGGACGAGAUGGCAAAGUCAGAGAAGUCCAGCUAAAUGCAUCAAGUCAAGGCUCUUUAAAGACUUUUCAGAGGCCGAUUAGAGAAGUAGUUCUUCUUUUGCCUACUGACUAAGGUACUCUUUGUUAAAAUGACCUAAUAAGUUCAGACGGGGAGUGUUCUGCCUUCCAGGCAUUUUAGUUCAUUGUGUAAAAGUUUUAUUUACGUGCUUUUAUUUUGACAUGUAAAACACCCGUAGAACAGGAAGUGCUGUGUACGUGAGUGACCGUUUACUAGCAACGCACGCUGAUGCAGAGAGAUUGGUCAAAGAGGGAAAGACGUUCUAAAAAAUCAGAAAACCGGCAAACCUUUGCUUAACUCUUGAAGAAGCAACGCCUUUUUACUCUGUAUUCUAAGCGACAGCAAGUAUGUGUAAUAAAUUUGGAGACUACAGGAACACAUCUUUCGUCAUUGAGUCAGAGUUUAGCUCACUGUCUAGUUGAAACUACCACUACGUCUCAGCGAGGACAGUACAAUGAGCUUCAAGAGGUCUCUGCCCCUAACAGGGUUUGCUUUCACUUAGUAAAAAUGCAUAAUUUUUCUGAAUAAGAUUAUUAAGAGGCCACCCAUAGGAUGGAACGUUGGUUAUGUAUUGUAACCCCAGAUUUUAUGAGUAUAGCAUAGCCCUUUGAGCAAUCGCCUUUUGGAUUAAUUCCAUCCCCUGCGCAGAUUGGAUCAGCGGUGAUCGGCGAGCAGUGCAUGCCGGUUAGAUUUGUGUCCAACUUGAUGCUGACUUGCUCUGACGUCAGUAGGCAACUAUAACCUUGUGAGAUCAAGGCGGCUGCAGAUUUUGGAGCAAGGCGCUGCAGUUGCUCUCCCUCGGCUGCAAAACCCAGGGCAUGGGAAACGCCUGGCUCUCACCUGAUCUAAGAUCUGAUUGGUUCAUAUUUUGAUCCAAACAUCCGGUGGUAGAACAUGAAAUGUUAGUUGUUCACAUGUAUUCUGUAAAUCAUGUAACGUUAAUGAUGACAACUAUAUAGGCCAUAAAGAGAAAUGUGUUUUGUGUUCUUUUGUCACAUUUCCUAUGAACACACUGAAGCUACAGCUGAUAACCUUUACUUAUUAUUACAGUCAAGUCUUCAUAUAGAAUAUUUGAUAUCCACAAGCACGUGAGGAUGUGUUUCAGCUGCUAACAGGCACCAGAAUUAAAAUUGAAAAUUAAACAAGUGUGAACGCUAACGCGGUAUCUUCAGCCAUCGUCAGCCCCGAGCUACACAUGAAGGGAAAUUGUAUCCGACUUAUGCGCACAGCAGAUCUGUUCCGUAACAUAAGGAGCCAUAUGAUUGGCUGCAAGCGAACAGCCCUGGCAGAAUCAUAUAUUUGAUUGACAGAUUCAUUAGCCAAUGGUGACGUUUGUUGACCUGCAACGUUAGGAGAGUCUCAAAAUUCAGCACACAGAUUUCACUCACAAACGCGGAAAGGUUCACAAAUGAGAAGCUGUUCGUAAAUGCACAUUCAGCAAUUCGUAUGAUCUGUGAGUUUAUAUUACAAGUGUUCUUACAAAUUAUAUUUGUGAACCACAGAGUGUGAACUUCAGAAUUAGCGUGUGCAUUCGUGGAAAAUGUUGCGUGACUUAUCUUUUCACAUUAUAUUUAUGAGUCAAAGAUUGUGAAUUUCCGAAUGAGCGUGAGCAUUUGUGUUCCUCCGAAUUAUAUUUGUGAAACACAGAGUGUGGAUUUCCGAAUGAACGUGUGCGUUUGUGGAAAACGUUGUGUGACUUAAUUCUUAUUGAGACUGUUCUGGCCUCAUACGUUAGCAUCUGCCAGUAGCCAAAAUGGACCCAGCUGUGAAUAAAAACUGUAGUUUAACACAAUUUCAAAGUGAUAAAUAUAAAAUAUAAUGUUUUACCAACCAUGUGUGAAACUUGAUCAGAUAAAACUCUGAAUGCAAACUUUUAACAAACCUAAUUAAACACUGAAUUUCCUUCCAAACUAAAAGAUUUUUGUAGUUUUUAGUAAUAACGGAUUUCAAAGUAAACAUAGCCAAAAUGAAAUGGGCUUAAUUUCUGAGGGAUGACAUGAAGUUUUCAGCAGAAACUGACCUGAGAGGCAGAAUUCAGCAGAAGUUUUGGAGUCACUUCCUUCACCUGCUGCUCUGCGGCGUGUCUCCGGUGAACCCGCGGGGUGUUUUGGGUUAGCGGGUGUUCAGGAGCGAUGAGGCGGGACCCUCCAUCACGGGAAUCCCAGAGAGGCAGCCUGGCAGCUCCAUCAGCGUGGGCUAAUCCCAAAGAGACGGCACUUUUAUCGGCUUGUCUCACUCCAGCAGCAGGACUCUUUUCUCCAACUAAACUUUCCUUCCUCCAUCUUUCUUUUGAAGCACAAAGUUGCUUCCCCUAAAUGUCUCUCAGUAGGUGCUGCCAUCUGUGAUCCGAGUAAAUGAGGCUUGCCGGCGUUUUCUUUUACUCUGGUGAGAGGGUUCUGGUUUUCAGACUCACAGCACAACUGGACCUGUUACUGUUUAACAUCUGGCUCCAACACUCUCAGCUAAUGUUGACUAAUUAGCCACAGAGUCAGUGGCUGUGAAGCAGCGAGCACCUGAACUAUCUGCCGUCUCCAGUUCAUUAUGGGAACACAAUCAGUUUGUAAAGGGCCUGAAAUUCACCCACAGCAUAAAAGAAGAGAAAAAGUCCAAUUUUCUCUGUUCUGACUGGUUCGAGCAGCGUGCAAUAGAAGGAAACGAGUCCAGAAAAGGAUUUGGCGUUUAGGCUUGAGUCCCACCGAUCAGAUCCAUGAGUGGAAGAAGAUCAUUUCUGGGGUUAUUUUACGGUUUUAAUCACUAAAGUGGGAUAUUUCACUACGUUUGAUUUGGUUUUGUUAAAUAAUGAGCAGCAGUGCAGACUUAUACUUCUGUUACCGUUCCAUUUUCCUGCACCACCGGGAAACACGCUAACCAUGUAAGUCUACCAUAGCCUUGUGUUCAUUUGGUGGACUAAAACGUGGGAUGGACUUCGUAAGAGGGUUCGGUUUUCUAACGUACGUGUAAACUAGAAUAAAGGCUCCCCGUUUAUUAACCAUUUAGAUGUAAAUGCACCUAACCCUCAGAUGGACCGUAGAAAACAAUCUUGGCUUUUUAGCUCAAGUGCAAUUCAUCCAUAAGAAGUAGAUUCUGGUUAACUUUCACUUCCUGUGUCUCAAAAUGUCCUCCUUCUGCUUUUAGUGUCUGAACUGAUCGUGGCCUUCCAGGGCCACCGUCCUUCAUGUUUCAGAGGUGUCUCUGCUCCAACACACCUGUCCCUACAUCAGGUGUCAGGUAAACAACAAAAAGGUGAGGACCAGGGUAAGUUUACUCAUCAUUUAUCAGAAACAUGACAUUUAUCAGAAUCUGACUCCUGAGAUUUUUACCCAUCUCUCUGCCCUCAUCACAACUGUAGAAAUGUCAUUUGUCCACAAUAAGCUACAGCUGUUUGUUGUCUUGGUGCCACCUUAAUGGGCUUUAAUGGACCUUCCCAAGGAUCCCAGAAAGGUUGUCCUGGUCUAGCCAGACACAGCUGGAAUUCCAGGAAGGUGAAAUAAAAGAGUUUAUUGAUCCAGCAGCUUAAUUAAACUAACCUGAGUCUGACUGUUGGACCUGAUGGUAAGGGGAACUUCAGAGCGUCUGGUAGGAACACACACACACACACACACACACACACACACACACACACACACACACACACACACACACACACACACACACACACACACACACACACACACACACACACACACGCACACGCACGCACACACGCACACACGUCUGAACAUUACAUCUGAACGUGUACACAGCUCCGGGCUCAGGACGGUGUAGGAAGACAGCGACAGCAGCUUUACACCCUCCCAGAGGAUUAGAGCAGAAACUGCUGCUGAUGCUUGUUUCCACCUCUGGGCCCUUCUCACAUCUUGUUGUGCGUUUUGAUUUGGCUGCUUGAUAUCCUCCCAGCAUUUAGCAGGAAGUCAGCACUGAAGGGGAGGGUGAGAUCCAGAAAAGGAGGUUUCCAGUGGACGUUCAACAUCAUCUAGGCUAAUAGCUGCUGUGCUGUGAGUGGAACGAGGCGGUCGGGCCAGAACCUGGGCGGGGCGCUAGGUCUUGGCAGACAGUCACGGGGAGACUGAUGGAGGCUGGCAGCAAGGCAUUUAGGGAGGAGUCCAUCUACUCCCAGCCACCAUCCAUCUCCAUUACACAUUUCCACAUGCCACUGGGCAGGGGACACCUCCUGUGACCGGAGGAGGGGGUGGAGACGGGUGGAGAGCCAAUCACUGUUAUGCUGUUGUCCCCCUUUCCUCGUCACAGUCUACCUGUCACUCUGGAAUCACUGACAGGAGAGAAGAGGUGUGGAUCCAUCCAUCACAGCAGCUCCUCCAGAAGACCACUCUCUCUAUUUACAUCACUGCAGACAUGUUUAACUUCAGCUCAACCUGCAGGUUCACGUCUGACUUCACCAAUGCUGACCAGGGGAACAACGAGGAGAGAGCAGCUCGUUAAGUUAGCGACCUGAUCAGAACAAUGUUCAUAGUUUCCAUCCAUCCAUCCAUCCAUCCAUCCAUCCAACAUCCAUCUGUAGUUUCUGAUUCCUCCUCCUCACUCAGCAUGGCCCUAUUAAAUACCCGCUCUGUUAACAAUAAGACCUUCCUGCUCAAUGAUCUAGUUCUCUCUAAAAACCUGGAUUUUCAGUUUCUGACUGAAGUUUGGCAGCAAACAUCUGAUUAUUCUGGUCUGACUGAACUUUGCCUGAGUGGUUAUUCUUUUCUUAGCCAGCCCCGGGGUUCUGGUCGUGGUGGAGGCCUAGCUGUUGUUUUCAGAGACCAUCUUCCUUGUAGCUCUACAACCUUUGGUCACUUUGCUUCCUUUGAACUGCAGCUGAUUAAAGUUGGGCGUAAGGACCCGUUCUACUGUGCUGUGGUCUAUCGUCCACCUGGUCCAAACAGUUCUUUCCUUCAGGAGUUUAGUGACUUUCUAACCUCCACUGUGAAGCUGUCCAGACUGGUGAUUGUUGGUGACUUUAACAUCCACGUUGAUGAUCCCACUGAUCACUUUGCCAUGAAUUUCUCCAGCCUUAUGGACUCCUUCAGCUUUACCCAGCAUGUUUCUGGCCCCACAUACACCAGGGGGCACGCUCUAGACCUUGUUUUUACCCUGAGUCUAAAUGCUGACAGUGUUUUUCCUGAGGACGUUUAUAUUUCAGAUCACCAUUGCAUUUUCUUUAACUUGUCAGUUUCUGCGUCCCCACCUCCUGCUCGUCGUAUGGUUAGUUCUCGUUUUCUUAAUGAGAGCACAGCUAGCAAUUUUUCUGCUGCUUUUGAUCCACCCUGUUCUUCUGAUAACGACCCAGAUUCCUUAACUUCUCAGUUUAACGAGCACUGCCUCUCCAUUCUGGACAUUAUCUGUCCUGUCAGAACCAGAUCAGUUCCUGCAGUGAACCCUACUCCCUGGUUUAAUAACAGCCUUCGCAGCCUAAAGCGCCAAUGCAGAAAAAUUGAGCGUUUGUGGAAGAAAACCCAUCUCCACGUCCAUCUGCUGCACCUAAAGGAUCUUCUGUCAUCCUUUAACUCUGCAGUCAGAGAUGCAAGGGUUUCCUAUUUCUCCAACCUGGUGUCCCAGAGCAAAGGGAACCCCAAGGUGCUGUUUAACACCAUCAGCAGCAUCGUCUCUCCUGCCUCUCCUACAGCCUCCAUCCACUCUGUUACAGACUGUGAGAACUUUCUGUCUUUCUUUGUGGACAAAGUCAAUAAGGUUAGAUCUAGCAUCUUUCCUUCAGCCUUAUCGCUGCCUCUCCCGACUCCAACCAGGACCGUCAUCCUAGAUAGCUUUGCUCCUGUUUCUUUGCCUGAGUUAACCAAACUAGUUAACUCUAUGAAGACCUCUGCAUGCCCCCUCGACAUCUUACCCUCAUCUUUGUUUAAAAGUGCUUUUCAGUCCAUCGGUCCCAGCGUGCUCUCUAUAAUUAAUGCUUCUCUGGUUUCUGGUCAGGUUGCUGCUUACUUUAAGAACGCUGUAAUCCACCCGCUUCUUAAAAAACCGAGUCUCGACCCCUCUCUCCAUAGCAGCUUCAGACCCAUCUUAAAACUUCCGUUCAUCUCCAAGAUCUUGGAAAAGGUUGUGGCUAAACAACUCACAGCUGCUCUUCCAAUCCAAUCCAAUCCAAUCCAAUCCAAUUUUACUUAUAAAGCGCAUUCACAAGACAUUACAACCAAACAAGGUGCUGUACACUAAAAAUGUUGGUUAAUUAAACCGGCGUUAUACAAACAUGUCGAACACAGAUAAAAGAUAAAAAGGAAAUACAACAAAAUUCCCAAAAAUAACAGCUAAAAAUCAAUAAGACACAGGGUGAAUAAAAAUAGGAAAAAACAUUUUACAAAGAACCUCAAUAAUACGGAAGUCGAUGAUUGUGGAGUCCAUUUUUAAACAGUGCAGAUGUCAGUGAGGUCCAUAAUUAUGUUGUAUAAGCUAGGUUGAAGUAGUGAGUUUUCAGGCGUGAUUUAAAAAUGCUAGCUGUUGGUGCUUGCCUCACUAGCAGUGGUAAUGCGUUCCACAGCUUCGGUGCACAGACAGAGAAAGCCCUUUCUCCAUGGCUUUUUAAACGUGCAUUCAGAACAGCUAGGAGGAGCUUAUCUUCAGACCUGAGAGCAUGCGGCGGGUUGUAGUAAUGGACAAGUUCACACAGAUAUGGAGGAGCUUGAUGGUUCAAGGAUUUGUAAGUGAGAAGCAUAAUAUUGAAGUUUAUCCUGAACUGCACGAGCAACCAGUGGAGAGAUUUCAGAAUUGGAGAAAUGUGUUGUCUUCUGUCAGCUCCAGUCAGCAACCUAGCUGCUGAAUUCUGGACCAGCUGAAGUCUAGAAAGAGCUGCUUUACUGAUGCCGUAUAAGCAGGAGUUAGAGUAAUCCAGCCUUGAGGUGAUAAAAGUGUGGACCACCGAUUUCAGAAGACGGACACUCAGGAUGUGCUUUAGUUUGGAGAUGCGUCUUAGUUGGUAAAAACAUGAUUUAACUGUGUUAUAGACCUGGGCAUCCAUCUUCAGAGCCUGGUCCAUUUUUACUCCAAGGUUGGAGAUUACAGAGGACACAUUAGGUGAGAGAUAGUUGAGGUCAGGUUGAUGAGUCGCCGUGGUACUGUUAGGACUGAAAACGAUUAAGUCAGUUUUGGAGUCAUUAAGAUGGAGGAAGUUGUCAGCUAGCCAUUGCUUGACCUCAAGGAUACAAUCAGACAGAACUUUCGUUGAUUGAACAUCUUGAUGAACUCU